rnacentral:rRNA from 1 species
CGUAGGGGCAAGCGUUGUCCGGAAUCAUUGGGCGUAAAGAGCGUGUAGGCGGCCCGAUAAGUCCGCUGUGAAAGUCCAGGGCUCAACCCUGGAAUGCCGGUGGAUACUGUCGGGCUCGAAUCCGGAAGAGGUGAGUGGAAUUCCUGGUGUAGCGGUGAAAUGCGCAGAUAUCAGGAGGAACACCAAUGGCGAAGGCAGCUCACUGGGACGGUAUUGACGCUGAGACGCGAAAGCGUGGGAGCAAACAGGAUU